rnacentral:rRNA from 1 species
UACGUAGGGGGCAAGCGUUGUCCGGAUUUAUUGGGCGUAAAGAGCGUGUAGGCGGCUUGACAGGUCUGCUGUGAAAACUCGAGGCUCAACCUCGAGAUGUCGGCGGAAACCGUCUGGCUAGAGUCCGGAAGAGGAGAGUGGAAUUCCUGGUGUAGCGGUGAAAUGCGCAGAUAUCAGGAGGAACACCGAUGGCGAAGGCAGGUCUCUGGGCCAUAACUGACGCUGAGAAGCGAAAGCAUGGGGAGCGAACAGG